rnacentral:rRNA from 2 species
UACGUAGGGUGCGAGCGUUAAUCGGAAUUACUGGGCGUAAAGCGUGCGCAGGCGGUGAUGUAAGACAGAUGUGAAAUCCCCGGGCUCAACCUGGGACCUGCAUUUGUGACUGCAUCGCUAGAGUACGGUAGAGGGGGAUGGAAUUCCGCGUGUAGCAGUGAAAUGCGUAGAUAUGCGGAGGAACACCGAUGGCGAAGGCAAUCCCCUGGACCUGUACUGACGCUCAUGCACGAAAGCGUGGGGAGCAAACAGG